rnacentral:rRNA from 1 species
CAAAAACAUGUCCUUUUGGGUUAUUAUAGAAGGUCUGACCUGCCCAGUGAUUAUUUUAACGGCCGCGGUAUAUUGACCGUGCAAAGGUAGCAUAAUCAUUAGUCUUUUAAAAGAGGGCUGGAAUGAAAGGUUUGACGAAGUAUUAACUGUCUCAUUUUAUUUGGUUUUAAAAUUUAACUUUUUAGUCAAAAGGCUUAAAUAUAAUUGGAAGACGAGAAGACCCUAUAGAGCUUUAUAUUAAUUAUUUUAGUUUUAUUUAUAUUAUUUUUGAUUAAUCUAAUUUCUAUUUUGUUGGGGUGACAGGAAAAAAAAUUAACUUUUUUAUGUAUUUAACAUUAAUUUAUGAUUAAUUGAUCCAUUAUUAUUGAUUAUUAGAUUAAGUUACCUUAGGGAUAACAGCGUAAUCCUCCCCCAGAGUUCGUAUUAACGGGUAGGGCUUGCGACCUCGAUGUUGGAUUAAGAUAAUAGUUAGGUGUAGCCGCUUAAUAAAUAGGUCUGUUCGACCUUUAAAUUCUUACAUGAUCUGAG